rnacentral:rRNA from 1 species
AACGAACGCUGGCGGCAUGCCUAACACAUGCAAGUCGAACGAGACCUUCGGGUCUAGUGGCGCACGGUUGCGUAACGCGUGGGAACCUUCCCUUAGGGUCGGCAUACCUCUCCGACAGGGGUGCUAAUACCGGAUAAUGUCUUCGGACCAAAGAUUUAUCGCCUUUGGAUGGGCCCGCGUUGGAUUCGCUCGUUGCUAGGGUAAUAGCCUACCAAGGCGACGAUCCAUAGCUGGUCUGAGAGGAUGAUCAGCCACACUGGGACUGAGACACGGCCCAGACUCCUACGGGAGGGGGCAGUGGGGAAUAGUGGACAACGGGCGAAAGCAUGAUCCAGCAAUGCCGCGUGAGUGAUGAAGGCAUUAGGGUUGUAAAGCGCUUGUACCCGGGAUGAUAAUGACAGUACCGGGAGAAUAAGCUCCGGCUAACUCCGUG